CACGGGGGGAGCAAGCGUUGUUCGGAAUCACUGGGCGUAAAGGGCGUGUAGGCGGUCAGGUAAGUGGAAUGUGAAAUCCCUCGGCUCACCCGAGGACCUGCAUCCCAAACUGCCUGGCUUGAGUAUGGGAGAGGAUGAGGGAAUUCCUGGUGUAGCGGUGAAAUGCGUAGAUAUCAGGAGGAACACCGGUGGCGAAGGCGCUCAUCUGGCCCAAUACUGACGCUGAAGCGCGAAAGCUAGGGGAGCAAACGGG
rnacentral:rRNA from 1 species